AGAGUUUGAUCCUAGCUCAGGGUGAACGCUGGCGGCGUGGAUAAGGCAUGCAAGUCAAGGGGGCUCUUCGGAGCAACCGGCAGACGAGGUAGUAACACGUGGGUACGUCCCCCAAAGUCUGGCAUAGCCGGCCGAAAGGUCGGGUAAUUCCAGAUAGUCCCGCAAGGGUAAAGAUUUAUCGCUUUGGGAGCGGCCCGCGUCGUAUCAGCUUGUUGGUAAGGUAAUGGCUUACCAAGGCUAUGACGCGUAGGGGAGGUGAGAGCCUGACCCCCACCGAUGGAACUGCGACACGGUCCAUACUCCUACGGGAGGCUGCAGCCGAGAAUAUUCCGCAAUGGGCGAAAGCCUGACGGAGCGACGCCGCGUGAAGGAUGAAGGCCUUCGGGUUGUAAACUUCUUUUAUGAGGGAGGAAAUUUUGACGUUACCUCAUGAAUAAGGGGCUCCUAAUUCCGUGCCAGCAGGAGCGGUCAUACGGAAGCCUCAAGCGUUACCCGGAAUCACUGGGCGUAAAGGGUGUGUAGGUGGUUGUAUUAGUCUUUUGUUAAAGACCGGGGCUCAACCCCGGGAGUGCGAAGGAAACGGUACAACUAGAGGAUGUGAGAGGUGUGCGGAACUCAUGGUGUAGGGGUGAAAUCCGUUGAUAUCAUGGGGAACACCAAAGGCGAAGGCAGCACACUGGCACAUUCCUGACACUGAGACACGAAGGCGUGGGUAGCGAACGGGAUUAGAUACCCCGGUAGUCCACGCCCUAAACGAUCCUAACUAGCUUUGGGGAGUAUCGACCCUCUCCGAGGCAAGCUAACGCGUUAAGUUAGGCGCCUGGGUAGUACGAGCGCAAGCUUAAAACUCAAAGGAAUAGACGGGGACUCGCACAAGCGGUGGAGCGUGUGGCUUAAUUCGUCGCUAAGCGAAGAACCUCACCAAGGCUUGAAACCUAGUAGAACCUUUCUGGAAACAGAUUGGGCCUUCGGGCUGCUAGGCAGGUGAUGCAUGGCCGUCGUCAGUUCGUGGUUUGAAUUGUACCGUUAAGUCGGGUAACGAACGCAACCCCUAUUGUCUGUUAUAUUUGUCAGGCAAGACUGCCCUUUUUUGGGAGGAAGGUGGGGAUGACGCCAGGUCCGUAUUUCCCUCUGAUGCCUUGGGCUGCACACGCGCUACAAUGGGUGCUACAACGGGACGCGACGAGGUAACUCUGAGCAAAUCCUUUAAAAGCAUCCUCAGUUCGGAUUGAGGGCUGCAACUCGCCCUCAUGAAGUCGGAAUCGCUAGUAAUCGCAGGUCAGCCACACUGCGGUGAAUACGUUCUCGAGUCUUGUACUCACCGC
rnacentral:rRNA from 1 species